rnacentral:rRNA from 1 species
AUGCCUAGGAAUCUGCCUGGUAGUGGGGGAUAACGUCCGGAAACGGGCGCUAAUACCGCAUACGUCCUGAGGGAGAAAGUGGGGGAUCUUCGGACCUCACGCUAUCAGAUGAGCCUAGGUCGGAUUAGCUAGUUGGUGGGGUAAAGGCCUACCAAGGCGACGAUCCGUAACUGGUCUGAGAGGAUGAUCAGUCACACUGGAACUGAGACACGGUCCAGACUCCUACGGGAGGCAGCAGUGGGGAAUAUUGGACAAUGGGCGAAAGCCUGAUCCAGCCAUGCCGCGUGUGUGAAGAAGGUCUUCGGAUUGUAAAGCACUUUAAGUUGGGAGGAAGGGCAGUAAGUUAAUACCUUGCUGUUUUGACGUUACCAACAGAAUAAGCACCGGCUAACUUCGUGCCAGCAGCCGCGGUAAUACGAAGGGUGCAAGCGUUAAUCGGAAUUACUGGGCGUAAAGCGCGCGUAGGUGGUUCAGCAAGUUGGAUGUGAAAUCCCCGGGCUCAACCUGGGAACUGCAUCCAAAACUACUGAGCUAGAGUACGGUAGAGGGUGGUGGAAUUUCCUGUGUAGCGGUGAAAUGCGUAGAUAUAGGAAGGAACACCAGUGGCGAAG